AGUGCACGCUGGCGGUAGGCCUAACACAUGCAAGUCGAACGGCAGCACAGUAAGAGCUUGCUCUUACGGGUGGCGAGUGGCGGACGGGUGAGGUAUACAUCGGAAUCUACUUUUUCGUGGGGGCUAACGUAGGGAAACUUACGCUAAUACCGCAUACGACCUCCGGGUGAAAGCAGGGGAUCUUUGGACCUUGCGCGAUUGAAUGAGCCGAUGUCGGAUUAGCUAGUUGGCGGGGUAAAGGCCCACCAAGGCGACGAUCCGUAGCUGGUCUGAGAGGAUGAUCAGCCACACUGGAACUGAGACACGGUCCAGACUCCUACGGGAGGCAGCGGUGGGGAAUAUUGGACAAUGGGCGCAAGCCUGAUCCAGCCAUACCGCGUGGGUGAAGAAGGCCUUCGGGUUGUAAAGCCCUUUUGUUGGGAAAGAAAAGCAGCAGGUUAAUACCCCGCUGUUCUGACGGUACCCAAAGAAUAAGCACCGGCUAACUUCGUG
rnacentral:rRNA from 1 species